rnacentral:lncRNA from 1 species
CUCUACGUGGAGACUGAUCUCUCACCACGACACGAGCUUCCUGCCUUCCGAUCCUCCUCUACGGACCGUUUGCUGACGGACUUCCCUGGGCCUGCUACCUGAGACCUGCUGCUUCCUCCCUGACCUGCAUCCUCUCGCUGCCCCAGACCGGCCUCGCUGCUCCUGCCCUUCGGCCUCGGACCGUCGGAACAUCAUGCAACGGGACUGCUGCCGGAUGCUGGUGCAAGCAUGAAGACUCUCCGUAUGUCCACAUUCCAGCUCUCAGGGUCAACACAGUGCUUCUCCUGAGAUUUUCCCCAGCAUCCAUAGCCCUCGGAGAAGAACCUUGACAGCUCUAAGCAGUUGCUUCACAUUUAGUGACUUCAAAGUUGAGAGAGGGUGCUCGUCACCAUGCCACUUUGAAUUUUGAGUUUGCUGGCCAGUGUCACUGGGGAGGAUGGGAGAAGGAGGAAAGAGAAAGGUGCUUGGUUAUCUGUUACAGAAUAGUGAGUCCAUAGCAAGCUCCAUUGUUACAGAUAUAUAUAGCCAAACUUUUGUGGCAACAGAUGCAAAAGAGAGAAGGGACUUCUGUGGACUUGGAAUAUGGCAACCAACACUCUAAUGCCCAGCAGUCCCUAUAGCAUCCUGUAGCAGACAUGCUGAGUCAUGGCUUGAAACAGUGAUUGGCCACCUGGCCUUUCAUAAUUUCAUAAUUCAAGUGAAAAUCCAUAAUAAGAAAUGAGUGUAAUGAAGGUCUAUUACACUCAGAUACAUAAUGAUUUUAAGUAAUAAAUUAAAUCUGGUGUUUUUGCCAGCUUCCAGCAGGCAGAUAAACUGUUUCUCUUACUGGAGUUCACCAGAUAGUUCAUUACAAGUAAGUUUAGGAAUCCACCAUUCCUUCCAUUAUGUUCUCUGUGAAAGUUUAAAACCAGGUAUAAAAUUUCAGAAAUAAGCUAGCUCACAAAGUCACAGGUAGUUGGCAUCCUUUUUGUUUGUUUGUUUGUUUGUUUUGUUUCUUUUGUUUUGUUUUGUUUGUUUGUUUUUAGGAAAAAUCAUUGAUGUGCUUCCAAUUUUGUAAGCACCAAGGUUGGCUUUGCUGCUGGUGAAAUCAAAUUAGUGAUUUCAACCAAACUAAGUCAUGGCAUUUAGGCAUACGAAACUGAUGUUGACACAGAGCUGUGUGGGGCAAAAGUGCAGACCACCAUGAGAAAGGGAAGGUAGAAGGAGUCCAUUCUAUUGGCAAAUGAGCUCAUAUUCCUAGUAUUCCUAGCAUGUUACUCUAGCUAGGGUUUUUGUUACUGCUGCUAUUAACUGAGGGCAAUAAUGUGAGGAUUAUUUGAUACUUUACGGAGUAGCACCCAUAUAUACUUAUGACAAGUAUUUGAUAUUGUAAAUUGGAUGCUCUGAGUACAAAGUAAGACUUAUACCUUAUGGCUGAUUUUCUGUCUGACACAUGCAAUAAAUACUGUUAUUUAUUGAGUAUGACCUUCAAAACAUACAAGAAAAUGUCACAUAAGAAUCUAGUUUAUACAAGUUCUGCCAUUCUAUUCAAAAUGCAAAGUUUGCAAGCUCGUAAGCGUGCAUCCCAAAAAUACAAAUUCAGUAGUGGAUAUUCAUUAUACAUCCACAAUUGCCAUUACAAUGUCUGAUCAAAUGAGAUUAAUCUUUUUAAAAUAGCUUUCAGUCAGAAAAUUACUUUGCAAUAGUAUAUAAGCUUUUAAAAGUCAUCUUGAGGAUUACCAUCAGGUGGGUUAUCAAUUUUUUUCAAUAAGACAAGCAAUCACAUCCCACUAGGACAAAGAAUCCACAUAGAAUCCACGUAGAAAAAAACAGUCCUGUAAUGUACCCACAGUAGUAAGCAUGUUUCUAUAACUCCCAAUGUAAGACAAAUUUUUAUGCUUAGUCUAAGAAGAUAUAAUGGGAAGAAACUUUAAAAGCUUCUAUGUCAACAACUUCUGUCACUUUUAACGUUGUUAUAUUCAUUUAUCUUUCCAGUGAUUUCCAAAGGGCAGGGUGGGAGAAGGGGAGUUGUUUCGGGGCUGGUUUGCAAUACAUCUGUGUUUCCAUAUUUAUUGCACACUUUCUCUACUGGGUCACUUAAUUAAAGAUUUUAUUUAAAAUACUAUUUCUAUUUCAUAACUGCAGAUGCAGUAAAGAUGAAUGGAUAUUUAUUUUAUUUUGGAAAUUAAAAUCAUUCUAGCAGUUCUGAUCAGAUGCACACACACAAAGACAAUAUUAAUACUUUAUACUAUUUCCUCUAUCAGUGCUUGACUGUGGACAGCUGUUUAUGGAUUUUCUAUUCCUGAAGUAAAACACAGGAAUGAAAGUUGUACUGUACUUCUAGUGGAAGCAAUUAGAAGGUCACAGAAAUGCAGUAUUAAAUAUUACCAUCAUUUAAGCAUGGCUGUGAAUUUACUGAGUGUCAUCUGCUCUGCAAUAAGUGCCCUAUAGCAUGAUCUAACUCUGUCAGAAAUGCAUAGUACCUCCAUGACAGAAAUGCAAACAUUCUCAAAUUACCUUUAAUUUAUUCUCUGAUAACAAACACGUGGAAAACAAGAGAGGGUGAAACAUAACUUACAUUCUUGUGUUUACUUAUUUGUGUAGUGCAUUCAAAGUAAUAUCCAUGUAAAAACACCAAAAUAAGUAUCUUUCAGCUGAAUUGAGUGCUCCCACUGUGAUGAUGUCCUCAUCAAUUUAGUAUUACUAUGAAUAAAGCACUAGGGAAAUUAAAAGACCAGUUAACUACUUUUUGAGAGGAAGUGACACUGGAGAAGAGUAAUAUUUACUUCUUUUUUAUAAAUUGAUUUUUAACUGAAAUUGAUACUGGCUUCUUCUCAAAAGCUUCUCAAAAGCUGCAUCUAUCUUCCACUGAAAAAGCUGAAUGGCAGAGUAACAGCAGAAAGAGAUAAUGAAACAUCAGUAAGACUGCUUAUGAACUGCUAAAAUUCAUCUAAUAUUGUGAAAACUUGCUUUAAAUAUUUCAGUGUUUAUAAAUGUAACAAAAGAAAUGAAAUGCCUGUUAACGCUUGUUUGUGCUGACAGCUCAAAGCCAACCUUUUCAUGCAAUCUCCAAUUUGUCCUCUGCUCAUGCAGAAACAUCAUAGUCAGUAUAAUUUAAUAUAUUAUUUUUGGAAAUAUAGAAUAUGCAUUAGUAACAUUCAGUCAAACUUUUCCUUUUGUCUUGUUUUCUGUAAUGCAAUAUAUAUUGUUGCAUGCUUUUGUAUAAUAGAAAGCAAAAUAAAAUGAUUUCUAUAUCACAAACUUCACCAAUCAAACAAAUUAAAAUCUCCAGAAUAAUGCACUGUCAUCGUUUAACCCAGCUGACAGCUAAAUGUUACACCAUAUUUACUCUGCUUCCCUGCCUCAGUGGGAUCGAAGAGAGAAGGGAAAAGUGCAAGAAAUUGUGGGGGAGCGGAGGGGAGAGGAGUCAUGCCUCAUCUUCUCAAAUAAAACAAAAUAUUUCAAAU